UACAGAGGUCUCAAGCGUUGUUCGGAUUCAUUGGGCGUAAAGGGUGCGUAGGCGGCGCGGUAAGUCGGGGGUGAAAUCUUGGAGCUUAACUCCGAAACUGCAUUCGAUACUGCCGUGCUUGAGGACUGGAGAGGAGACUGGAAUUUACGGUGUAGCGGUGAAAUGCGUAGAUAUCGUAAGGAAGACCAGUGGCGAAGGCGGGUCUCUGGACAGUUCCUGACGCUGAGGCACGACGGUCAGGGGAGCAAACGGG
rnacentral:rRNA from 1 species